rfam:Aedes albopictus isolate Foshan contig83841, whole genome shotgun sequence.
UGCCCAGCAACUCCUAUCCCUACCUCCACGCAGUACCGGCCGGAAACUAUGAGCAACCUUAGGGAAGA